UACGUAGGUGGCGAGCGUUGUCCGGAAUUACUGGGUGUAAAGGGAGCGCAGGCGGGAGACCAAGUUGGAUGUGAAAUACCGCGGCUUAACCGCGGGGCUGCAUCCAAAACUGGUUUUCUUGAGUGGAGUAGAGGCAGGCGGAAUUCCUAGUGUAGCGGUGAAAUGCGUAGAUAUUAGGAGGAACACCAGUGGCGAAGGCGGCCUGCUGGGCUUUAACUGACGCUGAGGCUCGAAAGCGUGGGGAGCAAACAGG
rnacentral:rRNA from 1 species